rnacentral:sRNA from 1 species
ACGAGAGUCGAUGAAUCGAGAGAUGAAGAUGAAGCGAGCUAUGGAGCGAUCUAAUAUGGCGGAAGGAUAAUAACCCACAAAGGGACUAUAGAAGUUCCUUAUCCUCGAAAUUGGCAUCAGAGGAGAUCGUAUCUAGCAAUAGAUGUGUCGUGAACACGAAAGUGUCAUGCGGCGGACAAAGAGCGCCAGUAACUCCCCUGUGUACGGGGCGAUAUAGGAGAUUGAAUAAUCACGUACACUUACA